GAAGAGGUCAUUUUUCAAACGCAUAUUCCACCAUUUUCUGAUAAUUUUGUUUCAGAUUUCUAGCACGGACAGCUGGGCUGUUUCUUUUCUGCUUCCAAGCCAUUAUUGUGUUAACUACCUAAAUGGUCCUAAGUUGUUUUAUGCAAUCGUUUUGUUGUACACAAGAUUCUAAUCUCAGCAAAGUACCUGGAAGAAACUGUGACUGAAGGUCAUCUGAAGGAUAGAAACCAGCAUGACAAAGCGCAGCUUUCUAACCUCUGUGAAGAGGCCAUUUUAAUAACGAUAUCCCUUGGGAGAAAACCAUUUACCUGUUUGUUCAGAUACGUUUGUGGUUCAGUCAAGCCUAACAAGGAAGAAUGAAGUAGUUGUUCAAACACGAAAACUUGGGAUUUAAAAAGUGGGACGAUAUUUUUCGAGAAGUCUGCAUGUAUUUUCUAUCGUCAAAUGUCCUAAAAAGGAGAAAAUAACAGGCUAGGAUGGAGGGUAGGUGCCUGACAUUCAGCCUCCCAUCAUCUACAAGGAUAGGAUCUUGUCCCUUGCCAGGAGGGAUAGAACAUCGCUCAGUGGAGAUGCUGAAAGGCCCAUGACCUAGCUACCAGGUACCAGUGAGAUGUUGACAGCCUAUAAUCAAGUAGAUGGUACCUCAACAUAUCCAUGUCUGAGGAAAAGAACUCGGGCUUUUGCAGAAACAUCAGCAAGUGUAGCUCCUGCAUUGCCCACCAGCUGAGAAACUGACACUUUGGUGGGAAGGUUAGCUGGAUUAGAGUUGGUAGAGCCUGCUGCUGAGCACGUCAGUGCCAGAACUCUGCAGCUGGUUGAGGAAGAAAUGCCUAAAGACUCUGGCACUCAGAGGACUACCAAAGAAGAGGCACCUGCUCAGCUUCAGGCACAAGAAGAUCCCAUGGUUUGGAAAUUUAUGACUUCAUACAAAUGCACGAGAUAACACUGGGCAACUUGCCACACACAGAUACAGAAUCAUGGUUGGCUGUCUCCAGUCAAAAGAAUAUCGCUGAUAUCUUGUAAUCAUGAGAGGUAUUAACAUGCUCCAUUCCUAAUGCACAACCUCCGAGAUAUACAGAUCAAUUUUAUUGAUCACAGGAGAGGGUAGAUUGUAGGACAUCUUUUAUGGCAAUAAAAAUUCAAUUGAUGUGGUCUUCGAUUGAAGGGUGCUUGGGCUUGAACUGCUAUCUGAUUCCGUAGCCUGAACAACCCAUGUAUUGCUGAUCUUUACAAAAAAUGGUCUUCAACAGCAGGAUAUAGUCUUGAUAUAUUUUUCUCUUACUUGCUGUAUUUCACUUCACUCAUUAAAACCUACCUCCUGUGUGCAUCUAUUAAGAUUCUGCAUGCAAGGCCUGUUGCGUUAACCAUUGCCAUCAGAGAUUAUUAGAAAUACUGUUGUGAACGUUGUAUGUUGCAUGCUCUGGAUUUUAAUUUGCUACAAAAAUUUUUUUGUAUCCCUAUUCUCACGCACAAC